rnacentral:lncRNA from 1 species
AUAACUCAAAUAUAAUUUAUCACAUAAUAGGAUUUUAGUCUUCUAGUUCGGAUUUGGCGCUGCUGCAUGUUUCUCAUGCGGUGGAGGUUUGCGAGCUUUGACAGGGAAGGGAAGGACGACGUCGGGGAGUUGGAUGACAGGAAGAGAGGGCUGGUGUUUCGGCGGCUGCUCUGCAUGAAUCGGGUUUGGCUGAUGGCAGUUGGUUGGAGGGUGAUUUUGGGAGCGGCGCACAACUCUUUUACAGACUCCGGGCGAGCUCAGGUCUGGGGCUGCGGUGUUCGAUCUCCGUUGGAUGUUCGUCAACAGAUUUGUGGUUUGUUGGCUUUGAGCUUUGUGGUCACCAGUUGGACUGUCAUUGUGGAACUGGUGAUGGGUUUUUUUUAACCCUUAUUGUCUUUGAGCUUUUCUCAUUUCUUAGCUCCUUAGCUUGUUUUCUUUUUUGUGCUUUUCGUGGCGGUGAAGGGGCCAGGAGUUACUUAGGAGCGAUAGUUAGGCCUAAGCUCUUGAAGUUUUUCCACUCUUCAUUGUUAUUUCUUUUUUGCUUUUUUAGCUUCGCUGUCUUUAGACGAGUACUCUUUUUCCUUGCUAAGGGUUUUCCCAUUGGGUUUUCCUUAGUAAGGUUUUAAUGAAGCUCGGCCCUUAGUCCAUUCUCUUGUGCUGUCAAGGGUUUCUUUUAAGUUUUUUCUUUUUUAAUACAAUCGUUAUUUAAUAAUAAAGGAUUUUAGUCUACUAGGCUAUCCAAACAAUUCAUAAAUCAAAACAACAACAAUAAUUAAAAUAAUAAGUAAGAAAAACUUACGAAGAGAGAACUUCUAUAGCAAGUCUUCACAACUCUGUACAAAGAUUUAUAACAAAG